UACGAAGGGUGCAAACGUUGCUCGGAAUUAUUGGGCGUAAAGCGCACGUAGGCGGCAUUGCAAGUCGAAUGUGAAAUCCCUCGGCUUAACCAAGGAAGUGCAUCCGAAACUGCAGUGCUUGAGUACGAAAGAGGAUCGCGGAAUUCCCGGUGUAGAGGUGAAAUUCGUAGAUAUCGGGAGGAACACCAGUGGCGAAGGCGGCGAUCUGGGUCGAUACUGACGCUGAGGUGCGAAAGCGUGGGGAGCAAACAGG
rnacentral:rRNA from 1 species